rnacentral:lncRNA from 1 species
AUUCAUCUUAUCUGUUUAUACUGUUCGCAAACAACAUACUCAAUUGUUCAGAUGGUGUAUAUAUCUGAGUUAUUUUUAUUUCUAUUUUUAAAGGGAUGGCAUGGGACAACAUUGAGCUUACUUCAUUGAAAUGCAAGUCUGCAAUAUGAAGACCUGUAAUCUGGUGACUGAAGGUGAAAACUUUGCGGAUGCUCAAAUCAAAGAUGUUGUUUGUCAAUGACGCGGUGCAGGCAGAACAGUUUGAUGAUGUACUGAUGAAUAUCUAUUGGAGUAACGCUACAUGUUCUGGAUCAUGUAAUCAUAUGUUUAAGCGUUAAAAGUAUGAGAUUGAAUAUCUUUUCUUUCAUGAAAAUUGAAUUGAGGGUAAGCACAAGGAAAAAAACUAGUGCUAGACAUUAUUUUUGUGUUUUCUUAUCGAGGCCAAAAUGUCUUCAUUACAUCUUCCAAUAUUUUUCUAUUGGGGGUUCUUCCAUUCCUUUUUUUUUGAGGAAUUAUGACAGUGAGGGAAGCUCCCCACUGACCUUUAUAUUUCUCUGUAGGAGAUAUUCCCUAGAGGCAAUAAUAAAUGUUAUUGAUUAUCUCCUUGUUCAUAAUUAUGUUUAUGUUCCAUGCUAUAACUGCUGUGGUUCCCGAGCCCGUAUAUCCAUAAAGGCUCUGGGAGAACCCAUAUGCACGUGUGGAAUAAUAAACGGUAAAAUGUAUUCCUAGUCGCGCCUCUAAGACUAGCUCAAGUGUUGCAUGAUGAUUAUGUUUUCCCAAUCAUGGGCAUGUCUAUGCCAAGCAACUUUGAGGGCACAAUGUCAGGAAGGACAUUUGUGUUGAAUCGACCCGAAUUGAUGUUAUGCUAUGAGAUACAUUCGUCACAAGUUAAUGGUUUAUAACACAGAGAUAGUUAAUGUUUGCAUAAUUCCUUAGACCAUGAGAGUAUCGAGUUUCUUCAUGCUUGCUUCAUGAACUUUGGGGUUUGUUAAACGUCAUCCGUAACUGGAUGGCUAUUACGUCGGCUUACGGGUUCAUGGGAAAGUAUGUUAAGUAACUUGAUAGCUCGAGAUUGGGAUUUGCUCCUCCGACGAUGGAGAGAUAUACUCGGGCCCACUCGGUGUUACGGUGUCCAUCAUCGUCUGGCCAGACACUUUGUGAUUUGAUCACGGGGAUGCCGGAACACGAAACGAGAAAAGAGAACAAAACCGGUAACGAGGUAACUUGCAUAGUGGACAAAGUGUUGGCCCACGGGGAUGCAAUAAAUCUCAGCUCAGGUGUUUGUGAUAUAUCGUGAAGCAACAGGAAUAGCUCACCUCAACUGGAGGUUCACUCGAAUAUUCAUUCGUGUGGGUAUAGGGGUCAAUAUGGGUGUCCACGGCUCCGAUGUUGAUCAUUGAUCGGAAGGGGUUCCGGGUCAUGUCUAUACUUCACCGAACCUAUAGGGUCACACGCUUAAGGGUCAUCUAUCUGCUGAAUACUAGACAGCGAGUCUGAGAGAAAAUCACCGAAAAAGUUUCGGACACCGAAAAGUUUCGGACAGCGGAAUCGUACCGCAGAGAGAGGUCAUCGGAUAAGUUUUGAUGAUACCGAAAAGUUGUUUCGGGGUACACCAUUAAGUCAAAUUGGUUUCGGCACAUGCCUGAUAAUUCUUGGAGGAUGCCAGAAUCAUUCUGGAAGCUUUUUGGAAUUUUCUGAGAUAAAAACCGGAAAUGUUCCGGAGCUGCCGGAGCCACUUCAGAUGCGUUUCGCAGAUGAAAAUCACUAAAACCGGAAUUGUUUCAGAACGCGUUGAAAAUCAUUUUAGUGGGUACUGGAAAUGUUCUUAGCCCACAUAAAUAUUUUCAGUUUGAUCAGACGCUGAAAAAUGUCGUCGUGAAUAGUGAAAAUCAGCUUUAUGGUUACUUUAUGGAAAGCCACCUUUUGGGGCUUUGCUCCAAAAGAUCUUGGGGAUGACAUGGAUGGAUAGGAGCCAUUUUUUGGGCCCCUCAUGGGGGUGUGGCCGGCCACAUGGGGUAUCCCCCCUUGGGGACCCUCUUGUUCCUUGGUUUCACUCCUAGGUCCUUGUGGAAGGACUUCAUUCAUGUGCAUUUUGGGUUUUUUGUGAAACUAACCUACCCCCUUGGGAUUUCCUAUAAAUAGAGGUGGAGGGGCAGCCCUCCACACUCAUCCCUUGCUCUCAUACACAUGCCAUGCAUUAUCUGGCUUCUUCUCUCCCUCCCACGAAAAGAGUUUCGUAGAGCCGUAAGGCUAUCUGGGUUCCGGCAGGAACUAGUUCUGGACGGCGAAGCCCUGCCGGAUAGAUGACACCGUAUGUGUGCAACUCUGUAGAGAGAUCGUAGUUUCGGUCUUAGUUCGUGAGUGCCUCCCGAAGGGCUGUCCGUGUGACCGUCCGAGUUUCGAAGGUCCUCCCGAAGGGCUGUCCGAGUGACCGUUUGAGUUUCGAAGGUCCUCCCGAAGGGCUGUCCGCGACACCGUACGGGGGGCUGUUCGACCGCCUCCCGGAGGGCUGUCUGAGGAGCAGAUGAGGGUAUACAUCCUCGCGGUUGGGAGGUUGUAAAUCCUAGCUGCGGGGAUCUGCACCGCCGAUCGUCAUCGACUCUACUUCCCGCUGCGCUACGAGUCGGUAACGAAAAAGAUCAAACCAUGUAUGCAGUCUCCAUAGUGGUCCUGGGCUGGUGCGUAGGUCGGAAUUUUUUUGUUUUCUGCUACGUUACCCUACAGUGGCAUCAAGAGCCGUGCUAUGCGUAGAUGCAGGUUUCGAUCUAGAAUACAUGGAGAUGUAUGGGUAUUGCAUAAUAUAAUUAGGUAGUAGAUGAGAUCUAUUGCUGAAAAUUAUUUAUGCGGGUGACAGAUGAAAUCUGUUACCCGAGGUUCUUGUUGCUUCCCUAGAAUUUGCGUUUGCUCAAUCUCGAGACAGCAUGGUGGAAUUUGACAAAGUUUUGGCAAUCCGUGAUCCUGAUUGAUCAUGGAAGUGCUAUCAGUUCUUUGGGUUCUGCCGUAGUCAAAAGAAAGAUGAAAUUCGCAGAUGAAAGGGCAUUGUAGAUAUGAUCUGCACGGGGGUCAUGCGUAUGACGAAGUUUAGUAUGGGGCUCGAGAUUUAAUUAUCCCGUGUUUCAUACACCCCGAGAUGUUAAUCUAGCAACUUGAAUAAUCAUACUUGAUGAUAAAACGUUGGUCGCUGCGGUUUAAGUCAAAACCUUAGAAGCCACGUAAAAUAAAUUUUGCAUAAACCGAUUAGAGGCGUCUAACUUGGUUUUGCAGGAUGUGCAUAUGAUGUGGUAUAGCAGUGCUCAUACUAAUUCGAUUAUGUAUGAGAUGACUAUAUGAUGUAAUUUGAUUAACAUGACCUGCGUGUCAUGAUUCGGCAUGAUGGUUGGAGCCAUAUGAUUGCACUUUAAUGACCUGCGUGUCAACCUUGUUGUAAUGCAUUAUUUUGUUAGCUAUAGAGAUAGAAAUAUUAUCUGGUGCAUCGACAAGGUGGUGGCAAUCUUCGCGAAGGUGAACACCGACGCGAAUGCCGAAGACGAAGAAAUGAAAGACUUCUCCGUCAGAAAGGGCUAUACCAUAUCAUGCUAUUAUGAAUUACCUGAGAUGUUUAUCCCUUAUGAUGCACCCUUCUUGAUUGCGCGGUAGUCGCUUUUAUUAGGGUGAUCUCUCACUUAAAAUACCAAGUAGUUAGUGUUCUCCCAAGUGUAGCACCGUCACGGCACCUAUCUUUUCGGGGUGCGCCGUGUCACACGGGUACGAACGAUUAGAGAAGUGUGAGGCGGGUGAGUUGAGACCUCGCAGCGAGAUCACUUGGUUGUCUUGACGUUCAGGCAUGACCGUCAUGAGCUCGGAACACACGCAUUGAAAGAUGAACAAGAGUCACAUAGAGAUGUGAUUGGCAAGUUGGCCUACCGGUUGAGAUUUUUCGUCAUCAGUGGUGUUACACCAAUGGCGAACAAUUGAAAUGUGGGUCUUGUAUCACUCACAAUCAAUUUUGAGAGAUAUUGAUUUGAGUGGGAGCGCACUGUUGAAUUAACAUGUUUAAUUCUUAGUGCAAUUAAUUAUGAACAUUGUCUAAGUGUUAUAUGCAAAAUAGUUGUAGAAUAAUGGCUCACGUUUCCACCUUCCCUGUUAAAAUUAAUAGCUGUUAAAUAUCUGGUUAAAACUUUACGAUUGGUACCGUAAUAUGAGGAUUGUCCUCAAAAGUGCUGAGAAGGACUUUGUCCUAUCGCAUGCUUUCCGUAUCCUCCCGCUAAUGCUAUGGAUCAUGUGACUCUCGUCCUUUGAUUCAAAAGCUAGAAUUCUGUUACGGUCAAGUGGAAUAUGUUUGCUUCCAUGAAACCCAAACUUCGAAAGUUGGGAUAGUUAUAUGAUAUUCAUGGAACUGAAAAUUAUUUUCAGAUACAAACAAAGCAAUGUUUGUUUGCAAGUAUUAGUAAAAGUGUUUACUAUGCAUUUGACUGUUGGGAAAGGGAUCCAGAAGAACGCCUGUCAUAUAAUGAAAGGUGAAUAAAACAACAACUUAAGGAGAAAGGAAGUGUCCAAAGGGUGUUAGUAUGACUUACACGCCUAGGAAGUCCGGGGCUAAUGCCACUCUUAAGUUGGGUGCUUCUUCUGAGAGUAGGAGAAAUACUAAAAGUUAAACUGCUAGAAGUAUAAAGGCAAAAGGAAAGAAGACUGGAAUAUCCAGCUCAUGUAUGAAUGUCAUACAAGUUUUUGAUGUAUAGAAGGCUGGUCAAAGAUAUAGUUCUUGCGAAUUAUGGUUAAACAUGUUAAUCACUAAUUCUUGGGUAUUGUGAGUUCAUCACAAAAAUGCCCGCUCGAUUGCAUUCUGUUGCAACUCGAUGUAAGAACUACUAUGGCCUGAAAGACUAGCUAGAAAUGAGGUUAAGGUAUACACAGGGAACAUAGUAAAUGUUACUAUACCUUCCAUCGGUGUAUUGCCAUCUGUAUUUAUUUUCAUAAUUCAUUUAGAGUUUUACAAACUCUAUCCCAUUGCAUAAGGCAUCUUGCAAGAAGGUUGUUCAUAAGAGAACUUUUUAUGUUCGAUGUUAUGAAUAACACAAGGGCCAUACUUUCAUUAUGAAUGAGAUGUAUGUUAUGAAUAUUGAUAAUAAUACAAUACCUCUGGGUUUACUUUCAUAAUUCAUUUUAGAGUUUCAUACACUCUAGCCCAUUGCACAAUGUUUGUUGCAAAAGAGUUGUUCAUAAAAACAACAAUUGUUGUUAACUAUUAUGAAUAACAUAAGGGCCAUACUUCCAUCAUCGAUGGGACGUAUGUUAUGAAUAUUGAGGGUAAUAUGAUACAUCCAUAACACUGACGCUAAAUGUCGCAAGACUAAAAGAAUACCACACAAGUGUGGCACUACAUUUGGUCACAUUGGAGAAACCCGCAUGGAAAAUUCCAUUAUGAUGGAUUUUGAAGUCUUUUUGAUUUUGAAUCAUCUGACACUUGCAACUUUCCUCCAAAAAGUGAAGUGACUAAAAUACCGUUCACAGGCCAUAAGGAACGAACAACAAACUUAUUAGUGAUCACACAUUUGAUGUGUGUAGUCCGAUAAGUGUUGUUAGUGGUGGAUUUAUUUAUCUUCAGAAAUGACUCAAGUAGAUAUAUGGAUAUUUACUUGAUGAGACGUAAGUCUGGAUCUUUUGACAUCAUUCGAAAGGUUUUCAAAAAUGAAGUAGAAGUUAUUGUAACAAGAAAAUUAUGUUUCUGCAAUUUGAUUGCACAAAGGAAUAUUUGAGCUACAUGUUUAGCGAAUGUCUGAUGAGUUGUGAAAGGGGUUUCAUAACUUGCACCUCCCGGAACACCACUGCAAGUGAAAGGUCCGUGGAGAUGUAAUCUAACCAUUUAUGACAUGGUAAGGUCAAAGAUGAGAUAAAUAAAUUUGCCAUUAUCCUUUUUAAAGUGAUGCUUUAGAGACUGCGGCUUUUACACUGAAAAGAGCUACAUCGGGUCUGUUGAAAUGAAGCCAUGGUAUGGUACGCCCAACUAUGUUGUAUCUUUUCUUAACAUUUGGAAUAUGGGGCUUGUGUAAAAGGUUACAAACCUAUUCCAAAUCAGACAAGUGCUACUUUGUAGGUUAUCCCAAGUCAUUGGGUAUUCCUCCCUCAGUAUACCGAGGCAAAUAGGUUUGCCACAAAGAACGGUAUGCUUUUAAAGAGAAUGGUUCUUUCUAAAAGGUGAGUGGGAGAAUAGUGCAACUCGACGAGAUAAACAGUAUCUUCAUCAGAUCAAAGGAAAGAGACCUUGGAAGUAAUUCCAGAGUUUCCUACUGCGAUUGAUACGGAAGUCUCUACAAUAAAAUGUAUGAACUUCGGUCGAACUUGCAGCUGAACCACGUAGGCAAGGCUCGUGCAAACCUCUCAGGUGCACAAACGAGAUAUUGUUGUUAGACAACAUUAUACCUACGAUACACAAGGAAGCGUUGAUGGGCCCUGACUCCAGAAUUGGCUAAAUGCCAAUACAACCCGAGUUAGUUUCCAUAUAAGUGAUUCAAGAUUAAAACCUUGAUACACCUUUCGGAAGACUUAGAGUCUAACGAAUAUUUAUGGAACUUAAAACUGAUACGGAUAAAAAUGUUUUAUCCAUAAAGCUCGACUUGUUGAAAUAACAAGUUCAAGAGUUGACUACGAUGAGGUUGUUUUCAUCGUAGCGAUGCUUAAAGUCGGUUCGGGUUGAACUAGCAAUUAAUACAUAUUUCAAUCAUGAGAUAUGAAACAUGGAUGAUAAAAGGAUUUCCAUCUGAUGGAAAUAAAAGCUAGGACUUGUAUAUGAUACAGUCCAAAGUAAUUUGUCGAUCCAGAGGAUGCUAGUAGGUAUGCAAACUUCAGAGUUCCAGCAAUGGACAGAAGAGAGCAAAAUGGAGUUGGAAUCUUCGUGUUUUGAUGAAAUGGUCAAAGGGGUUUUGACUUCAUCAAUGGGUAACGAAGAUGCUUGUAAUUCAAGAAAGUAAGUGGGAGCGUAAUAAUAUUUCUAAAAACCUUAUGUGCUUGGCACAUUGGUAAUUGGAAAUAAAUUUCUUGACACAAAUUAGGACUUCAUUUGAAAAUAGUUUUUCGACGAAGUGCUUAGGCUAAAUAGCCUCAAUAUUAGGCAUGAUGAUCUAUGGAGAUAGAUUUACCUAAUGGGGCUAAGCAAUGAAUACAUAUUGACAAGAUGCUAAAACCUUUUAGCAUUUAAAAUGCCAAGGAGUGAUUCUUGCCAAAGUCACAUGGAAAGAGUUUUUGCAAGACUCGGUGUCCCAAAACACUGAUGAGUAAAAUACAUGAUGCAGAUUCCACACACUUUUGUGUUUGGAUUAAUCAUGUAGUCCAUGGUAUGUAAAAUAACCAGAUAUGUUCGAUACUCCCAAGGUGUUGCGAGUAUGGAUACCAAAGUGAUCAAAUUACUGAUCAUGGGACAACAGUGAAAGAUGUCACAGAGUACUAGAGUAAGUACUGAUGACAUGGUUUUCUCGCAAGCAGAGAUCAUGAAGAGUUCGUUGUAAAAUGUUACAUCGAUACAGUCUUCAUCUUUUCUCCAUGCGAUUUUCGAUUUAAAUUAAGGGUUUUGUGUAACACACAAUGUGGUGGCACAGUUAGUUGGAAUUUGUUCAAACUAGUUACUGUCGCGAAUUCUAUAACAAGGGCUAUGUAUGUUGACGCUUUAGAAGCGACAAAGAAGAUGUUGAAUCAUAUAGUUCAUUCAUGAACUUAGUAUAGUUCCAAGAUGGCUUUUGACAAUGGGACACUACUGCAGGUAGUUGCUCCAUAACUCAGUCUGAGGAAUCCAAGUUCGACCUGUGAUUCACAUACAUACAAAGCCAAGUCCACACAAAAUAUGAAUUUUGUGAAAACGCGAGGACAUGCAAAGAUACACACGGAACUGAAGUCGUCAGAUCCGUUGGACAUCAGGCUAUACCACAAGCGAAGCAUAUUUACACCGGUGUGCCACAGGUGUGAAGUGCAUUAGCAUAAGCUAGAUUAUUGUCUCUAGUGCAAGUGGGAGUCUGUAGGAGAUAUGCCCUAGAGGCAAUAAUAAAUGUUAUUGAUUAUCUCCUUGUUCAUAAUUAUGUUUAUGUUCCAUGCUAUAACUGCUGUGGUUCCCGAGCCCGUAUAUCCAUAAAGGCUCUGGGGAGAACCCAUAUGCACGUGUGGAAUAAUAAACGGUAAAAUGUAUUCCUAGCCGCGCCUCUAAGACUAGCUCAAGUGUUGCAUGAUGAUUAUGUUUUCCCAAUCAUGGGCAUGUCUAUGCCAAGCAACUUUGAGGGCACAAUGUCAGGAAGGACAUUUGUGUUGAAUCGACCCGAAUUGAUGUUAUGCUAUGAGAUACAUUCGUCACAAGUUAAUGGUUUAUAACACAGAGAUAGUUAAUGUUUGCAUAAUUCCUUAGACCAUGAGAGUAUCGAGUUUCUUCAUGCUUGCUUCAUGAACUUUGGGGUUUGUUAAACGUCAUCCGUAACUGGAUGGCUAUUACGGCGGCUUACGGGUUCAUGGGAAAGUAUGUUAAGUAACUUGAUAGCUCGAGAUUGGGAUUUGCUCCUCCGACGAUGGAGAGAUAUACUCGGGCCCACUCGGUGUUACGGUGUCCAUCAUCGUCUGGCCAGACACUUUGUGAUUUGAUCACGGGGAUGCCGGAACACGAAACGAGAAAAGAGAACAAAACCGGUAACGAGGUAACUUGCAUAGUGGACAAAGUGUUGGCCCACGGGGAUGCAAUAAAUCUCAGAUCAGGUGUUUGUGAUAUAUCGUGAAGCAACAGGAAUAGCUCACCUCAACUGGAGGUUCACUCGAAUAUUCAUUCGUGUGGGUAUAGGGGUCAAUAUGGGUGUCCACGGCUCCGAUGUUGAUCAUUGAUCGGAAGGGGUUCUGGGUCAUGUCUAUACUUCACCGAACCUAUAGGGUCACACGCUUAAGGGUCAUCUAUCUGCUGAAUACUAGACAGGGAGUCUGAGAGAAAAUCACCGAAAAAGUUUCGGACACCGAAAAGUUUCGGACAGCGGAAUCGUACCGCAGAGAGAGGUCAUCGGAUAAGUUUCGAUGAUACCGAAAAGUUGUUUCGGGAUACACCAUGAAGUCAAAUUGGUUUCGGCACAUGCCUGAUAAUUCUUGGAGGAUGCCAGAAUCAUUCUGGAAGCUUUUUGGAAUUUUCUGAGAUAAAAACCGGAAAUGUUCCGGAACUGCCGGAGCCACUUCAGAUGCGUUUCGCAGAUGAAAAUCACUAAAACCGGAAUUGUUUCAGAACGCGUUGAAAAUCAUUUUAGUGGGUACUGGAAAUGUUCUUAGCCCACAUAAAUAUUUUCAGUUUGAUCAGACGCUGAAAAAUGUCGUCGUGAAUAGUGAAAAUCAGCUUUAUGGUUACUUUAUGGAAAGCCACCUUUUGGGGCUUUGCUCCAAAAGAUCUUGGGGAUGACAUGGAUGGAUAGGAGCCAUUUUUUGGGCCCCUCAUGGGGGUGUGGCCGGCCACAUGGGGUAUCCCCCCUUGGGGACCCUCUUGUUCCUUGGUUUCACUCCUAGGUCCUUGUGGAAGGACUUCAUUCAUGUGCAUUUUGGGUUUUUUGUGAAACUAACCUACCCCCUUGGGAUUUCCUAUAAAUAGAGGUGGAGGGGCAGCCCUCCACACUCAUCCCUUGCUCUCAUACACAUGCCAUGCAUUAUCUGGCUUCUUCUCUCCCUCCCACGAAAAGAGUUUCGUAGAGCCGUAAGGCUAUCUGGGUUCCGGCAGGAACUAGUUCUGGACGGCGAAGCCCUGCCGGAUAGAUGACACCGUAUGUGUGCAACUCUGUAGAGAGAUCGUAGUUUCGGUCUUAGUUCGUGAGUGCCUCCCGAAGGGCUGUCCGUGUGACCGUCCGAGUUUCGAAGGUCCUCCCGAAGGGCUGUCCGAGUGACCGUUUGAGUUUCGAAGGUCCUCCCGAAGGGCUGUCCGCGACACCGUACGGGGGGCUGUUCGAUCGCCUCCCGGAGGGCUGUCUGAGGAGCAGAUGAGGGUAUACAUCCUCGCGGUUGGGAGGUUGUAAAUCCUAGCUGCGGGGAUCUGCACCGCCGAUCGUCAUCGACUCUACUUCCCGCUGCGCUACGAGUCGGUAACGAAAAAGAUCAAACCAUGUAUGCAGUCUCCAUAGUGGUCCUGGGCUGGUGCGUAGGUCGGAAAUUUUUUGUUUUCUGCUACGUUACCCUACAGUGGCAUCAAGAGCCGUGCUAUGCGUAGAUGCAGGUUUCGAUCUAGAAUACAUGGAGAUGUAUGGGUAUUGCAUAAUAUAAUUAGGUAGUAGAUGAGAUCUAUUGCUGAAAAUUAUUUAUGCGGGUGACAGAUGAAAUCUGUUACCCGAAGUUCUUGUUGCUUCCCUAGAAUUUGCGUUUGCUCAAUCUCGAGACAGCAUGGUGGAAUUUGACAAAGUUUUGGCAAUCCGUGAUCCUGAUUGAUCAUGGAAGUGCUAUCAGUUCUUUGGGUUCUGCCGUAGUCAAAAGAAAGAUGAAAUUCGCUGAUGAAAGGGCAUUGCAGAUAUGAUCUGCACGGGGGUCAUGCGUAUUCAUGCUCACUUAUACUCCCUUCGUUCGUAAAUAUAAGUCUUUCUAGACAUUCCAACAACUGACUACAUACGGAGCAAAAUAUAAGUCUUUCUAUACAUUCCAACAACUGACUACAUACGGAGCAAAAUGAGGGAAUCUAUACUUUAAAAUAUGUCUACAUAUAUCUGUAUGUUUCGUUCCUAAAUAUAAGUUUUUCUAGACAUUCCAACAAUUGACUACAUACGGAGCAAAAUGAGUGAAUCUAUACUAAAAUAUGUUACAUACAUCCGUAUGUUGUAGUCCACUAGUACAUAUGCCCGUGCGUUGCAACGGGCAUUUUUUUUUUACAAAACCAGCUUCACGUGUCAUUAUGCUCUACUUAUAUUCAAGUUUGACAAACCUUGAAAUAAGGUUACCCUCGUCAGUAAGGUGCAUAUGCGGGUGUUUUUUCACGGGUUGAAUUAUCCUUAUUUAGAUCAUGAAGUGUUGACAUGAGAAGCCACACUAACAUAUUUGAACCAAAAUAUACUCUACACCUAGUCUAAAUGAUCGCCGGUGCCCAUUCUCCCAUUUCCAGCAACGAACAUGUCGGUCAUCAACGUAUGAACCCAAGUCGUAGCAAGCUACAAGGACUUAAAGGAACAACGCGUGACAUUUCCCCGAGGGGACAGACACAGGAAUGAAGAAGGACACAUGCUGGCCAUCCUAAGUGUUCCGGAGCAGUAGCAAGCUACCAUGGCUCAGUGAAAGCACUGAUGUCUACUACACAACCUUCUUCUUGUAGACGUUGUUGGGCCUGCAAGUGCACAUGUUUGUAGGACAGUAGCAAAUUUCCCUCAAGUGGAUGACCUAAGGUUUAUCAAUCCGUGGGAGGCGUAGGAUGAAGAUGGUCUCUCUCAAACAACCCUGCAACCAAAUAACAAAGAGUCUCUUGUGUCCCCAACACACCCAAUACAAUGGUAAAUUGUAUAGGUGCACUAGUUCGGCGAAGAGAUGGUGAUACAAGUGCAAUAUGGAUGGUAGAUAUAGGUUUUUGUAAUCUGAAAAUAUAAAAACAACAAGGUAACUAAUGAUAAAAGUGAGCGUAAACGGUAUUGCAAUGACAGGAAACAAGGCCUAGGGUUCAUACUUUCACUAGUGCAAGUUCUCUCAACAAUAAUAACAUAGAUAGAUCAUAUAACAAUCCCUCAACAUGCAACAAAGAGUCACUCCAAAGCCACUAAUAGCGGAGAACAAACGAAGAGAUUAUGGUAGGGUACGAAACCACCUCAAGGUUAUCCUUUCUGUUCUAUCUAUUCAAGAGUCCGUAGUAAAAUAACAUGAAGCUAUUCUUUCUGUUCAAUCUAUCAUAGAGUUCAUACUAGAAUAACACCUUAAGACACAAAUCAACCAAAACCCUAAUGUCACCUAGAUACUCCAUUGUCACCUCGAGUAUCCAUGGGCAUGAUUAUACGAUAUGCAUCACACAAUCUCAGAUUCAUCUAUUCAACCAACACAAAGUACUUCAAAGAGUGCCCCAAAGUUUCUACCGGAGAGUCAAGACGAAAACGUGUGUCAACCCCUAUGCAAAGGUUCAUGGGCGGAACCCGCAAGUUGAUCACCAAAACAUACAUCAAGUGGCACGUGAUGUCCCAUUGUCACCACAGAUAAACACGACAAGACAUACACCAAGUGUUCUCAAAUCAUUAAAGACUCAAUCCGACAAGAUAACUUCAAAGGGAAAACUCAAUCCAUUACAAGAGAGUAGAGGGGGAGAAACAUCAUAAGAUCCAACUAUAGUAGCAAAGCUCACGAUACAUCAAGAUCGUGCCAUAGAGAGAACACGAGAGAGAGAGAUCAAACACAUAGCUACUGGUACAUACCCUCAACCCCGAGGGUGAACUGCUCCCUCCUCGUCAUGGAUAGCGCCGGGAUGAUGAAGAUGGCCACCGGUGAUGGAUUCCCCCUCCGGCAGGGUGCCGGAACGGGCUCCCGAGAGGUUUUUGGUGGCUACAGAGGCUUGCGGCGGCGGAACUCCCGAUCUAUCUUCAUCUUCGAUGGUUUUAGGGUAUGUGGACUUAUAUAGGCGAAAGAAGUCACUGGGGGAGCCUCGAGGGGCCCACGAGAGGGGAGGGCGCGCCCGGGGGGGGUGGGCUCCCCCUCCUAUCUCGUGGCUUCCUCGAUGCUCCCCUGGCUUGCACUCCAAGUUUCCUGGGUCACGUUCGUUCCAAAAAUCACGCUGCCGAAGGUUUCAUUCCGUUUGGACUACGUUUGAUAUUCCUUUUCUUCGAAAUACUGAAACAGGCAACAAAACAGCAAUUUGGGCUGGGCCUCCGGUUAAUAGGUUAGUCCCAAAAGUAAUAUAAAAGUGUAUAAUAAAGCCCGUAAUCAUUCAAAAUAGAUAAUAAAAUAGCAUGAAUGCUUCAUAAAUUAUAGAUACGUUGGAGACGUAUCAGCAUCCCCAAGCUUAAUUCCUACUCGUCCUCGAGUAGGUAAAUGAUAAAAGAAAGAAUUUAUGAAGUGUGAAUGCUAGCAGGUGCACAAGUUUGAUCAAUGAUAAUUUCAAUCACCUUUUCUACCAUGAUUAUAUGUCAUAACAGUGGUUCAUCUCAUAAGACACCUCACGAACAAGUAACAAGCAAUUCACAUGUUAAAGCAUAGACUAUAAACUUUCUUGAAAACUAGCAAACUAUGUUCUCAGUCAUCAAACAAUUGCAAUCCAUCUUAUUUUUAGGAAGGGUCUAUGUCAGAGCUUUGAUUUAGCAAACUCCACAUACUCAACUAUCAUAUAGUCUUCUACAAUUGCUAACACUCACGCAAUACUAAUGGUUAUGGAGUUUUAAUCGGACACUGAGAAAGAUAGGGGCUUAUAGUGUUGCCUCCCAACGUAUUCACCUUUGGGUGAUGUCAACAAUAAUAGUUCAUGCUAACUUACAUCCAAUUGGGUAUAUAUAUCAGGAUCUUUCCAACAUGAGGUGCUUGCCAAAGGGUAAAAUGAAAAAAAAGGAAAGGUGAAGAUCACCUUGACUCUUGCAUAAAAUAAAAGACAUAAAGUAAAAGAUAGGCCCUUCGUAGAGGGAAGCAGAGGUUGUCAUGCGCUUUUAUGGUUGGAUGCACAAAAUCUUAAUGCAAAAGAACGUCACUUUAUAUUGCCACUUGUAUGUGGACCUUUAUUAUGCAGUCCGUCGCUUUUAGUGCUUCCAUAACAAGAUCGUAUAAAGCUUAUUUUCUUCACACUAAUAGAUCAUACAUAUUUAGAGAGCAAUUUUUAUUGCUUGCACCGAUGACAACUUACUUGAAGGAUCUUACUCAAUUCAUAGGUAGGUAUGGUAGACUCUCAUGGCAAAACUGGGUUUAAGGAUAUUUGGAAGCACAAGUAGUAUCUCUACUUGGUGCAAGGAAUUUGGCUAGCAUGAGGGGGAAAGGCAAGCUCAACAUGUUUGAAUGAUCCAUGACAAUAUACUUUAACUGAGAUGUGAGAAAACAUAACCCAUUACGUUGUCUUCCUUGUCCAACAUCAACUCUUUAGCAUGUCAUACUUAAUGAGUGCUCACAAUUAUAAAAGAUGUCUAAGAUAGUAUAUUUAUAUGUGAAAUCUCUCUUCCUUCAAUAUUCUUUCAUGAAUUGUUCAAAUGACCAAUACAAUGCUUGCUAACCUUCAAUAAGUUUACAACCUCUACUUCUUAGAUGUGAAGUCAUUACUCCCCAUGGGAUAAGCAAAUGAAACAUAUAUAAAUUCAGAUUUAUGACAAUCAACUCAUUCAACAAUUUACUCAUAGGAUAUAAGUGAAGCACACGAGUAAAUGACAAACUACUCCAAAAAAAUAUGAGUGAAGAUCAAUGAGUAGCUAAAUAAUUAUGUAACUAUGUGAAGACUCUCUCUCAUUUAAUAAUUUCAGAUCUUGGUAUUGUAUUCAAACAGCAAGCAAAACAAAAUAAAAUGACAUUGCAAGGAUAGCACAACUCAAGUGAAGAAGCAAAAACUUAGGCUCAACCGAUACUAACCGAUAGUUGUUGAAGAAGAAAGGUGGGAUGCCUACCGGGGCAUCCCCAAGCUUAGAUGCUUGAGACUUCUUGAAAUAUUAUCUUGGGGUGCCUUGGUCAUCCCCAAGCUUGAACUUUUGUGUCUCCUUAAUUCCUCUCAUAUCAUGGUUUCUCUUUUUAUCAAAAAGCUUCAUCCACACCAAACUCAACAAGAACUCGUGAGAUGGGUUAGUAUAAACCAAUGCAAAACCUUAUCAUUUUCUACUAUAACAAAUCACUAAAAUUAUUAUUCAACAUUGCAUACUAAAUGCCUCUGCAUAUUUAACACUCCUAUCCUCAAAUAGAAUCAUUAAACAAGCAAACAUAUGCAAACAAUGCAAACAUAACAGCAAUCUGCCAAAACAGUACAGUCUGUAAAGAAUGAAAAAGUAUCAAUACUUCCCUAACUCCAAAAAUUAUGAGAGAAAAUUCCCACUAUAGUAAAUUUAUCAGAGCUCAAUAUGCAAAAAGUUUCAACAAUAUACCAUUCUCUGACUUUUCUAGGGAAUUUUUGCAACAGCUGUAAACUUUCUGUUUUCAAACAGCAACAUGUAUACUAGCAAAAUAAGCAUGGUAAAGGCUAUCCUUGACAUUUUUUAUUGAAAAUAAAGAUGCAAAACACUAUUAUAACUAAAACAAACAAAUACUAACAAAAUAAAAUGAUGCUCCAAGCAAAACACAUAUCAUGUGGUGAAUAAAAAUAUAGCUCCAAGUAAAGUUACCGAUGAACGAAGACGAAAGAGGGGAUGCCAUCCGGGGCAUCCGCAAGCUUAGGCUCUUGGUUGUCCUUGAAUAUUACCUUGGGGUUCCUUAGGCAUCCCCAAGCUUAGGCUCUUGCCACUCCUUAUUCCAUAGUCCAUCGAAUCUUUACCCAAAACUUGAAAACUUCACAACACAAAACUCAACAGAAAACUCGUAAGCUCCGUUAGUAUAAGAAAAUAAAACCACCACUUAGGUACUGUAAUAAACUCAUUCUAAAUUCAUAUUGGUGUAAUAUCUACUGUAUUACAACUUAUCUAUGGUUCAUACCCUCCGAUACUACUCAUAGAUUCAUCAAAAUAAGCAAACAACACAUAGAAGUAGAAUCUAUCAAAAGCAGAACAGUCUGUAGUAAUCUGUAUCAAACGUAUACUUCUGGAACUCCAAAAAUCCUACCAAAUUAGGAAGUCCUAAGCAAUUUGUGUACCAAUCUAGAGAAAAAAGAAUCAGAUCAGAGGCAUGUUUCUGUGAAUUAAGAAAACUAAUUUACUGGGUGCAAAAGUUUCUGAUUCUCAGCGGGAUCAACACAACUAUCACCGUAAGCUAUCCUAAAGGUCUUACUUGGCACUUUAUUGAAACAAAAGCUAUAAAACAUGAUUAGUACAGUAGCAUAAUCAUGUGGACACACAAAAACAGUAAGGGUAAAUAUUGGGUUGUCUCCCAACAAGUGCUUUUCUUUAAAUGCCUUUCUAGCUAGGCAUGAUGAUGACAAUGAUGCUCACAUAAAAGAUAAGAAUUGAAACAUAACGGGAGCAUCAUGAAGCAUAUGACUAGCACAUUUAAGUCUAAAUCACUUCCUAUGCCUAGGGAUUUUGUGAGCAAACAAUUUAUGGGAACAAUAAUCAACUAGCAUAGGAAGGCAAAACAAGCAUAGCUUUAAAACUUGAAGCACAUAGAGAGGAAACUUGACAUUAUUGCAAUUCCUAAAAGCAUAUGUUCCUCCCUCAUAAUAAUUUUCAGUAGCAUCAUGAAUGAAUUCAACAAUAUAACCAGCACCUAAAGCAUUCCUUUCAUGAUCUACAAGCAUAGAAUUUUUACUACUCUCCACAUAAGUAAAAUUCUCCUCAUUCAGAAUAGCGGGAGUAUCAUAAGAGACUUGAACACUAAAAAUUGUUUCCACAUUAAAAGAGUAAUGUUCAGAAAAAGGGUAAUCAUAAUCAUGACAAGUUUUAUAAAUAUAAUCAUCACUACUUUUUAUAGCAUAAGUUUCAUUACAAUAGUCAUCAUAAGUAGCAACUUCGUUCUCAUCAUAAUCGAUUGAAACCUCUCCCAAGAUAGUGGAAUCACUAAAUAAAGUUGACACUCUUCCAAAUCCACUUUCGUAUUCAUCACAAUAAAAUUCAACAUCCUCCAAAAUAGUGGGAUAACUACUUCCUAAAGUUGACACUCUUCCAAACCGACUUUCAUCAAUAUAAUCAUCAUAAGUAAGAGGCAUGCUAUCAUCAUAAUAACUUUGCAUAUCAAAACUUGGGAUGCUAAAAAUAUCAUCUUCAUUAAACGUAGCAUCCCCAAGCUUGGGACAAACAUUAAUUUCAGCAAAUAUAUUCUCAAAUAUUUCAUCCUUAUCAAACAUAGCUUCCCCAAGCUUGGGCCUUUUCAUAUCAUAAGCAUAAUCACUCUCAUCAUUAAAAAUAUGGAUAGCACCAAUAGUAUAGCAAUUAUCAUCAUCACAAUGAGUAGUAGGAGCAACAUCAUUUGGGAGGGAUACCUUUUUACCUUUGUUUCUCCUUCUUUUCUUUUUCUUCUUCGCAUUAUGUGUGGGUUCAACCUUCUUCUUUGAGCUCCUUAUUGAUGAGAUUGGUUGAAUAGAAAGCUCCUCCUCGUUACCUGAUUCAUCAUAAGAAAUAAUAGGAGGAGAUUGGGAAGUCUCUUCCCUUUUAUUAGUAUUCUCUUCAUCUUCUAAUUGCUUUCUUUUCUUUAGGUGAUUGACAAUAUAAGGAUUUUCAAUGCAAUUCACCGCACAAAACAAAUAAAUCUCCUCUAAAUCAAUAUCAAGGAAAUGCUCAAGAUUAAAUUUGGAAUAAGCUUAGUUGCACCUUUCAAUUCUUCAUAACCCAAAAGCAAACUAAGUUCAUUGUAAUGAGCAAGGGAGAUAAAAUCAUCACAAUUUUUGGACACUAUUCGAUCAUGAAACAAUUUGCAUUGGAGAUGUAAAUGAUCACGUUCAUUGCAAAGUUCACAACGGUAAAUAUACCUUAAAUUCUCAGCACUCUUAUCUAGCCUUUCUUGCAACAAUUUAGUUUCUACAUGCUUAUGACUCUUGCAAUAUUUAUCUUCUCUAUUUGGUGUAUCCAUGCAAACCCAAUGCUCUCCACAAAAAUCAACAUGCUUGUAAGAGACAUUUUCAUCAUAACUAGUGCCAUCAUCAUUAGUACUAUGGAUAUUCAAAGAGUUCAUACUAACAACAUUGCAAUCAUGCUCAUCAUUCAAAGAUUUAGUACCAAGCAUUUUAAUGCAUUCUUCUUCUAGCACUUGAGCACAAUUUUCCUUUCCAUCAUACUCACGAAAAAAUUUAAAAAGAUGAAGCGUAUGAGACAAGCUUAACUCCAUUUUUUGUAGUUUUCUUUUAUAAACUAAACUAGUGAUAAAACAAGAAACAAAAAGAUUCGAUUGCAAGAUCUAAAGAUAUACCUUCAAGCACUCACCUCCCCGGCAACGGCGCCAGAAAAGAGCUUGAUGUCUACUACACAACCUUCUUCUUGUAGACGUUGUUGGGCCUGCAAGUGCACAGGUUUGUAGGACAGUAGCAAAUUUCCCUCAAGUGGAUGACCUAAGGUUUAUCAAUCCGUGGGAGGCGUAGGAUGAAGAUGGUCUCUCUCAAACAACCCUGGAACCAAAUAACAAAGAGUCUCUUGUGUCCCCAACACACCCAAUACAAUGGUAAAUUGUAUAGGUGCGCUAGUUCGGCGAAGAGAUGGUGAUACAAGUGCAAUAUGGAUGGUAGAUAUAGGUUUUUGUAAUCUGAAAAUAUAGAAACAGCAAGGUAACUAAUGAUAAAAGUGAGCGUAAACGGUAUUGCAAUGACAGGAAACAAGGCCUAGGGUUCAUACUUUCACUAGUGCAAGUUCUCUCAACAAUAAUAACAUAGAUAGAUCAUAUAACAAUCCCUCAACAUGCAACAAAGAGUCACUCCAAAGCCACUAAUAGCGGAGAACAAACGAAGAGAUUAUGGUAGGGUACGAAACCACCUCAAAGUUAUCCUUUCUGUUCUAUCUAUUCAAGAGUCCGUAGUAAAAUAACAUGAAGCUAUUCUUUCCGUUCAAUCUAUCAUAGAGUUCAUACUAGAAUAACACCUUAAGACAAAAAACAACCAAAACCCUAAUGUCACCUAGAUACUCCAUUGUCACCUCAAGUAUCCGUGGGCAUGAUUAUACGAUAUGCAUCACACAAUCUCAGAUUCAUCUACUCAACCAACACAAAGUACUUCAAAGAGUGCCCCAAAGUUUCUACCGGAGAGUCAAGACGAAAAUGUGUGCCAACCCCUAUGCAAAGGUUCAUGGGCGGAACCCGCAAGUUGAUCACCAAAACAUACAUCAAGUGGCACGUGAUAUCCCAUUGUCACCACAGAUAAACACAACAAGACAUACAUCAAGUGUUCUCAAAUCAUUAAAGACUCAAUCCGAAAAGAUAACUUCAAAGGGAAAACUCAAUCCAUUACAAGAGAGUAGAGGGGGAGAAACAUCAUAAGAUCCAACUAUAAUAGCAAACCUUUGCUAUUAUAAUUUAUAUAAUUUAAGUUGCAUAAAUUUUAUUUUUUAUUGAUUCUUUUUAGUUGUUUCCUUUUGCUAUUAGAGUUUUAUUAAAGCUUUUUAGUUGAUUCUUUUUGCUAUUGUAGAAUAUUAUAGUUUUGUUUUAGGAGGAAAAAAACACACCUUUGGUCCCGGUUCCAGACACAAACCGGGACUAAAGGUGAUGGGCCAGGAGCAAGGCCCAUUGGUCCCGGUUUGUGUCUGGAACCGGGACAAAUGGUCUUAGACGAACUAGGACCAAUGGCCCCCGAGGCCCGGCCCGCGCCCUGGCCUCACGAACCUAGACCUAUGCCAUCAUUGGUCCUGAUUCAGGAGUGAACCGGGAUUAAUGGUCUUGCCCUGCCUGGACCAAAGCCUUGUUUUCUACUAGUGCUACUAGGACUCCAAGUCCUAGUAGGAUUCCACCAAGAGGGAGAGAGGGGAAAGGAAGGAGAGGGAGAGGGAGAGGGAGUAGGAAAGGGGGGCACCGCCCCCCUUCCCUUGUCCAAUUCGGACUCCAAGGAGGGGUGCGGCCUGCCCUGGCUGCCCUCCUCUCUCUCCAAUAGGGCCCAUGGUGGCCCAUUAGUUCCCCCGGGGGGUUCCGGUAACCCCUCCGCCACUCCGGUGUUACCCGAAACUAUCCGGAACACUUCUGGUGUCCGAAUAACAUGGUCCAAUAUAUCAAUCUUUAUGUCUCGACCAUUUCGGGACUCCUCGUCAUGUCCGUGAUCUCAUCCGGAACUCCGAACAACCUUCAGUCAUCAAAUCACAUAAACUCAUAAUACAAAUCGUCAUCGAACGUUAAGCAUGCGGACCCUACGGGUUUGAGAACUAUGUAGACAUGACCGAGACACAUCUCCGGUCAAUAACCAAUAGCGGAACCUGGAUGCUCAUAUUGGCUCCUACAUAUUCUACGAAGAUCUUUAUCGGUCAAACCGCAUAACAACAUACGUUGUUCCCUUUGUCAUCGGUAUGUUACUUGCCCGAGAUUCGAUCGGGUAUCACCAUACCUAGUUCAAUCUCGUUACCGGCAAGUCUCUUUACUCGUUCCGUAAUACUUCAUCCCGCAACUAACUCAUUAGUCACAUUGCUUGCAAGGUUUAUAGUGAUGAGCAUUACCGAGAGGGCCCAGAGAUACCUCUCCGAAGCACAGAGUGACAAAUCCUAAUAUCGAUCUAUGCCAACCCAACAAAUACCUUCGGAGACACCUGCAGAGCAUCUUUAUAAUCACCCAUUUACGUUGUGACGUUUGAUAGCACACAAAGUGUUCCUCCAGUAUUCGGGAGUUGCAUAAUCUCAUAGUCUGAGGAACAUGUAUAAGUCAUGAAGAAAGCAACAGUAAUGAAACUGUAAAGAUCAUAAUGCUAAGCUAACGAAUGGGUCUUGUCCAUCACAUCAUUCUCCUAAUGAUGUGAUACCGUUCAUCAAAUGACAACACAUGUCUAUGGUUAGGAAACAUAACCAUCUUCGAUAAACGAGCUAGUCAAGUAGAGGCAUACUAGGGACACUUAUGUUUUGUCUAUGUAUUCACACAUGUACUAAGUUUCCGGUUAAUACAAUUCUAGCAUGAAUAAUAAACAUUUAUCAUAAAAUAAGGAAAUAAAUAAUAACUUUAUUAUUGCCUCUAGGGCAUAUUUCCUUUAGGGAGGAGGAGGAGCUGCGGCACGGUCCGUCGGAUGAUGGGGUGCGAUGGUGGCGGUUGAGAGGACAUGAUAAGGAAGGGACGUGCGGCUGGUGUUUUCGCUAGCGAAUCGUUAUUUUACUUAGGUGUGGAUUGCGGGUUGAUUUUAUGUAAACUGAGGGGCUUUUUUGAAAAACUGUCACGACGAUGGAUGACCAGAAACCCAAUUUUCUUUAUUAUUAGGUAAAGAUAAAGAUAUUUUUUUUGCGGAAUUAGUAGGUAUAGGUAUUAGGUAUAGGAUAGGAUAUAGGAAUAGGUAUAAGAUAUAGAUUUUUUUUGAGGGGUAGGUAUAGGUAUUAGGUAUAGGAUAGGAUAUAGGAAUAGGUAUAAGAUAGAGAUUUUUUUUGAGGGGUAGAUAUAGAUAUAGAAAUAAAGAUGCAGAAAGUAGAACGGGAGGGACAUCAACGAGACGGCCCACUUCGUUCGCUUGUGCGUGCGACUGAGUUCCUGGCCCAAUGAGCCGCCCCUUCUAGUCUAUCGCCCUUCUUUAGCGUCUCUGGCCCAAUGAGACGGUAUAACAUUGAGUCUGUCGCCCUUGCUUCCUCCCCCGUCCACUAGUUCCUCCACCAAAAACUAGGGUUAGGGUUAGGGCGGCGGCGGCUUUAUUUCCGAUCGCGAUCGCCAUGGCCACCGGAGGCGCCCCAAAGCCGGAGGAGGAGACCGUCGUCUUCCCCGAUUGGGUGAUGCUGGAACGCAUCUUCCGCAAACGGUGCCUCGACGACCUAGACGCUGCUGGUGAGGCCGUCAACAAGAACAAGACCGCUGCUCCAGUCAAGAUAGACGGCGUUCACUCCUGCUUCGUCUCCUUCACCCUCGCAGCUCCUCCAGGGUCCUCCUACUUCAACCUCCAUUGGCCGGAGAGACAAGGCUCAGACAGACUCUCUGCCUUCGUCCGGGCAACCGACAAGAACCUCGUCCUCUUCGACAUCUCGAUCCCCGACCGGAUUCGCUACAUGGACGCUCCGCCAGAUCUGUUCGUCUACACGGCCUCUGCUCCUUCCCCCUCGGUGCAGCAGCUUCCUCGGCGCAGCACAAGGCGGUUCCUGGCUCAUCAGUUCAUCACCGGCAUUCUGCAGCUCAAAGCGGAGCACUGCUACAUCGUUGCCGACCUCAAUGUCCACCCCAAGAAAAAGGGCGUUUGGGCUGAACUCUGUGUCUUCAACUCCGGCGCCAACGACUGGAGAAUCAUCACCGAGGUGCUUGCUGAUGAGCUCCCUGACCUCUGGUGGUCCGAUGAUGUGUUUGCUUUCGACGGCCGUUUCCUUUGCUGGGUGGACUACUUCUGCGGCGUCGUGCUAUGCGACUUCUCCAAAAAUGUGGACUCCCAGGUGCUCCACUUCGUGCCUUUUCCUGGAGGAAUCAAAUACCCUUUUGACGCACGGUUCCCGAGGUACUUCCCAGGGAGGUUCCGAAGUGCGUCCAUCAGCCAAGGCAUGAUCCGCUAUAUCCACAUUGACAAUGACUUUCAUGAGACUAUCCACUCCGACUGGCAAGUGAUGAUUCCUCCUAAGAGAAGCCAACGGCGGCAGCAGCAGCUUCCCCACAAAAUCACCAUUUGGACGUUGAACUCCAAGUUCGAGUGGGAGGUGCAUUGUAAGAUCAACCUGGAUUGUCUCUGGGCACAACCUCUUUACCGAGGUCUACCUCGGCGUCUUCCUGAGUUCCCAGUCAUCAGCAUGGAUGACCCGGGUGUUCUGUGCUGCCUGCUGAGGGCGAAGGAAUUUGGUGGCAAGGAGCGGAUGAUCAUGGUUGACAUGAACCAUGCGGAUCUGCAGUCAUUUACUGAUGUGAAUGUAGAAGACAAGUUCUCUAAUACCACCCAACUUCCAACUGUCUUCUCCAAAUACCUUCAAAAGGCCAACAGGUAACUGGCUACAAGAAGCUCUCUUAAUAUUCAAAUGACACCUUUCACGUACGUUCUUACAUAUUAUAUAACAUGGUUGCCUUUGCUUAGCUUUCUGUUGGAUACGGUAGUGGUAAACACUGGUGUUUUUCCUUACUUAUCGUACUUAUGGUGCAAUAGACAUGCUGCCUGGUUUUUCAUUCCAUGUAGGAUUCUCAGAGAACUUCUUUCUUAAUUGAUGUCAUUCACGCACAUUCUUACAUACAUACAACCUCCGUCCCAAAUUAAUUGUCUUAGAUUGAUUGGACAAAUCUAAGACAAAUAAUUUGGGAUGGAGGGAGUAUUAUAUAACAUGGUUGCCUUUGCUUAGCUUUCUGUUGGAUAUUGUAGUGGUAAACACUGGUGUUUUUCCUUAUUUAUCGUACCUAUGGUGCAAUAGACAUGCUGCCCGGUUGCAUUCGGUGUAGGAUUCUCAAAGAACUUUGGCUUUGGUGCACGCUUUAUAGCUUACUGCAUGUUGUCUGCUCCCUGUAUGAAUCACUUUGAAGUGUCCCCUUCUUUCAUUGUCAACUCUCUGCACAGUGACUGACCCAUACCAUCCUACUAAUCAGGGUUGUUUUCCCUAUGUUAUUCUCUGUUGCUUUACUCCUGCCCCAAAGUUUCUAUUUUGCUGCCUUCUGCCGUUGCAUGUCCUCUAGUGUUGCUGUGUUAUAGUAAUAUAUAUAUAUAUAUAUAUAUAUAUAUAUAUAUAUAUAUUGAUUAAUUGAAGCAUUUUAAUAUGUUGUUGCCUUGAAUCUUCUGUUGGGCUGUUCCAGUGUUUGAGUUGUAGCUGCUUCAGUUGUGUAGGUCCACUACACUGUAUAUCAACUACUCCCUCCGUUCGUAAAUAUAAGUCCUUUUUAGAGAUUCCAAUAUGGACUAUGUACAGAGCGAAGUGAGUGAGUAUAAGCUUUGGUCCUUCUGCCAUCAAGUUUUCCUUAAGAGUCUAGAGUCCUCUAUUUCUCCNNNNNNNNNNNNNNNNNNNNNNNNNNNNNNNNNNNNNNNNNNNNNNNNNNNNNNNNNNNNNNNNNNNNNNNNNNNNNNNNNNNNNNNNNNNNNNNNNNNNNNNNNNNNNNNNNNNNNNNNNNNNNNNNNNNNNNNNNNNNNNNNNNNNNNNNNNNNNNNNNNNNNNNNNNNNNNNNNNNNNNNNNNNNNNNNNNNNNNNNNNNNNNNNNNNNNNNNNNNNNNNNNNNNNNNNNNNNNNNNNNNNNNNNNNNNNNNNNNNNNNNNNNNNNNNNNNNNNNNNNNNNNNNNNNNNNNNNNNNNNNNNNNNNNNNNNNNNNNNNNNNNNNNNNNNNNNNNNNNNNNNNNNNNNNNNNNNNNNNNNNNNNNNNNNNNNNNNNNNNNNNNNNNNNNNNNNNNNNNAUGAAGCUUUAUUAGCACAUACUUCUCUGUUGGCAAAAUUUCUUUGGUUUACUUUGGGUCAAUCAGGUCACAUCUCUGGCUGUUUCUGUUAGAAUCCUUGUGUUUGAGAUAGCGUAUACCAUGGUUUUUACAAGGCAGUAAAGUGUCCUAAGGCGUUCUACCCCCGCUCUGACGCCUAAGCGGGCACCUGAGCACUAAGGCAGACUAAGUGCCUAAAGCGGGCAGAUUUCCAAGGCGCUGCCAGGGCGCCUAAGCGUCCUAACGCAGACGCCUUAAAAACCAUGGCAUAUACUUUUAUAUCCUCUAACUGAGUGCUGGCCAUGGUGGAGCUUAGUGUAGACCAACAGGGCCCAUGCCCCCCUCCCCCCCUUAAUUUUUCCAUCCAUCUAAGAAAAUGCUAUUAAUUUGGUUCCCUUCGAGUAAUGGCCCCCUCUUGAAUUAUGCUCAAGCUCUGCCAGUACUGGGGCCAGUGAGCCAUUCUCUUUACACGGGAGUGCCAUUAGCUAAAACCCCUAUAGUAUUAGCUUUGCUGGCCUUCUCAUGUUACUGUCUUACUCUUGAUUCUGGCUACAACCCUUCUGAUUGUUUUCUCUAUCCUCAUGCCUCAUUUCAUUCUCUCACGCCUAAUCCGACAUCGGUACGGCUGGACUGUUGUGAGGACUCCAAUUUUUCUCGAGUACGCUGCCCUGUCGCCGCGUUCAGCCUCUUGUUAGACCUGAACACACACACACACACACACACACACACACACACACACACCAUGCAGACCUGGCUGCAGCAUGUUUGCUACCAGUCCCUGCAUGUCAGUUGUAGUCCUUACCAGAGGCUGUGCCUGCUCAUUGAGGCCACACCGCAACGCCAUGGCUAUGUGGUGUUCUGAAUAUUAUGUCAAGCUAGGCGAUGACAUUACCAUCUGAAUCCAGGUCAAAUAUAUGAUGCAAUUGCAUUUGCAUUAAUAUUGAGUGCAGAACUAUUUUCUUUAUCAAUAUACUCCACUGCAAUGCCAUUUGUCUUUCUUGUUUGUCUUUUUUUAAACUACCCUUUCCAAGUGACAAUUCAUCUUAUCUGUUUAUACUGUUCGCAAACAACAUACUCAAUUGUUCAGAUGGUGUAUAUAUCUGAGUUAUUUUUAUUUCUAUUUUUAAAGGGAUGGCAUGGGGCAACAUUGAGCUUACUUCAUUGAAAUGCAAGUCUGCAAUAUGAAGACCUGUAAUCUGGUGACUGAAGGUGAAAACUUUGCGGAUGCUCAAAUCAAAGAUGUUGUUUGUCAAUGACGCGGUGCAGGCAGAACAGUUUGAUGAUGUACUGAUGAAUAUCUAUUGGAGUAACGCUACAUGUUCUGGAUCAUGUAAUCAUAUGUUUCAGCGUUAAAAGUAUGAGAUUGAAUAUCUUUUCUUUCAUGAAAAUUGAAUUGAGGGUAAGCACAAGGAAAAAAACUAGUGCUAGACAUUAUUUCUGUGUUUUCUUAUCGAGGCCAAAAUGUCUUCAUUACAGAGAUCUUCCAAUAUUUUUCUAUUGGGGGUUCUUCCAUUCCAUUUUUUUUGAGGAAUUAUGACAGUGAGGGAAGCUCCCCACUGACCUUUAUAUUUCUCAUUUCUUUUAUUGAGCACAAUGAUGUGAAUCAGGCUUUAAUAAGUUCUAAUACGCAGCGGCAAGCAGUUGUGCUUAAUU